GUACGGGAGGCAGCAGUGAGGAAUAUUGGACAAUGGGCGCAAGGCUGAUCCAGCCAUGCCGCGUGCAGGAAGACGGUCCUAUGGAUUGUAAACUGCUUUUAUACAGGGAGAAACACUCUCUCGUGAGGGAGCUUGACGGUACUGUAAGAAUAAGGAUCGGCUAACUCCGUGCCAGCAGCCGCGGUAAUACGGAGGAUCCAAGCGUUAUCCGGGAUCAUUGGGUUUAAAGGGUCCGUAGGCGGUUUAAUAAGUCAGUGGUGAAAUCAGGUCGCUCAACGAUCAAACGGCCAUUGAUACUGUUAGACUUGAAUUAUAAGGAAGUAACUAGAAUAUGUAGUGUAGCGGUGAAAUGCUUAGAUAUUACAUGGAAUACCAAUUGCGAAGGCAGGUUACUACUGGUGGAUUGGCGCUGAUGGACGAAAGCGUGGGGAGCGAACAGGAUUAGAUACCCCGGUAGUCCG
rnacentral:rRNA from 1 species